rnacentral:rRNA from 1 species
GACGAACGCUGGCGGCGUGCUUAACACAUGCAAGUCGAACGGAAAGGCCCUGCUUUUGUGGGGUGCUCGAGUGGCGAACGGGUGAGUAACACGUGAGUAACCUGCCCUUGACUUUGGGAUAACUUCAGGAAACUGGGGCUAAUACCGGAUAGGAGCUCCUGCUGCAUGGUGGGGGUUGGAAAGUUUCGGCGGUUGGGGAUGGACUCGCGGCUUAUCAGCUUGUUUGUGGGGUAGUUGCUUACCAAGGCUUUGACGGGUAGCCGGCCUGAGAGGGUGACCGGCCACAUUGGGACUGAGAUACGGACCAGACUCCUACGGGAGGCAGCAGUGGGGAAUAUUGCACAAUGGGCGGAAGCCUGAUGAAGCAAAGCCGCGUGCGGGAUGAAGGCCUUCGGGUUGUAAACCGCUUUCGACUGUGACGAAGCGUGAGUGACGGUAAUGGGUAAAGAAGCACCGGCUAACUACGUG